CUUGCUUUUCUCGCCUGGAGUCGCUCGGCAGGCGCCCAGGCCCUCGGGGCUCGGGUCGUGCUCCCCUCGGGGCCUGCCUGCUGGGCCGCCCUUUGAGCCUAGGCCGCGGAAGCUGGGGCUCCCGAUCCCCACCCUCCUGCGCGACCCCCGCAGGGCGGGCCGCCCCACCGCUGGCCUUGACCCGCACCCCUCUCUCUGGUGGCCGCUGCCUGCUGCCAGCGGCUUCCUGGCCCCCGUCAGCAACACCAGGGGCAGGGAGAGGCCCACUGUCUUCUCCUGCCCGCCCCCCAUUGGCGAGCGAUGAAGGCGGGGGCCUGCGUCUCCGUGUUCGGGUCUCACGCAGCUAGAUGUUGAUUCCACGGUCCAGCCUAAGGCCCCUCAGUCUCUCUGUGCCUCUGGAAGCCGAAUGAGGGGCAGUCAAGGUUGAACAUUGGAUACGCCUUUGAGUACCUUAUUGAAACAUUAAAUGACAGUUCACGUAAGAAGUUCUUCGAUGUAUCUAAACUUGGCACCAAGUAUGAUGUUCUGCCUUACUCAAUACGG
rnacentral:sRNA from 1 species